AUUGAACGCUGGCGGCAGGCCUAACACAUGCAAGUCGAGCGGCAGCGGGAAAGUAGCUUGCUACUUUUGCCGGCGAGCGGCGGACGGGUGAGUAAUGCCUGGGAAAUUGCCCAGUCGAGGGGGAUAACAGUUGGAAACGACUGCUAAUACCGCAGACGCCCUACGGGGGAAAGCAGGGGACCUUCGGGCCUUGCGCGAUUGGAUAUGCCCAGGUGGGAUUAGCUAGUUGGUGAGGUAAUGGCUCACCAAGGCGACGAUCCCUAGCUGGUCUGCGAGGAUGAUCAGCCAAACUGGAACUGAGACACGGUCCAGACUCCUACGGGAGGCAGCAGUGGGGAAUAUUGCACAAUGGGGGAAACCCUGAUGCAGCCAUGCCGCGUGUGUGAAGAAGGCCUUCGGGUUGUAAAGCACUUUCAGCGAGGAGGAAAGGUUGAUGCCUAAUACGUAUCAACUGUGACGUUACUCGCAGAAGAAGCACCGGCUAACUCCGUGCCAGCCGUCGCCGUAACAC
rnacentral:rRNA from 1 species